UACAGAGAGGGCAAGCGUUAUUCGGAAUUAUUGGGCGUAAAGGGCGCGUAGGCGGCUUUGCAAGUGAGAGGUGAAAUCCCUCGGCUUAACCGAGGAACUGCCUGUCAAACUGCAUGGCUUGAGACCGGGAGAGGUGAGUGGAAUUCCCAGUGUAGCGGUGAAAUGCGUAGAGAUGCGGAGGAACACCGAUGGCGAAGGCAGCCCCCUGGGCUAACACUGACGCUCAGGCACGAAAGCGUGGGGAGCAAACAGG
rnacentral:rRNA from 1 species